AAAAUAGGCCACAGGUUCACCCCUUCGUCCCAGAAAAAGAAAUAGGAGCAUGAGAUUAGUCAACAGAACAAGGAUGCCAGGAGUUCUUAGGCAGGGAUGUCUGGGGGCUCACAUUCCUUUGUGUAGUUCUUCGUUUGCUUAUUUUAUAUUAUUAUAUUUAGUAAUCUCUACACCCAAUGAAUGCUCUUCCUACUGAACCAUCCAGGCAAACCUGUGCCUUAUUUGUGCCUUAUUUGACACAAUUUUUUAUUGAGUUUCCACACAGGUCGGUCUCUGUGCUAGCCCUCAAGAUGCCCAGGUGAGAAGAUGUGGACUCUGCCCUCAAGUUGUUCCCAGCUGAGAGAAAACGGAGAAGCCAACACUCAGGAUGUGCUGGGAUGGAGCUGGCUGUGGAGUGGGUGGGUAGACAGGACUCCCACCACACCUCCCUGGGAGAAGGGGAGAAGACACUUUGAAAGUUCCUCACAGACCUGUCUAUUGAUGUUCUUGGUUCUACUCUUCAGAUCUCAGCCAGUAAUCAAUCAGGAGUCCCCACUGGUAGACCUAGAUCCUGCCUAUGUUCUCAAGAACCAUGGCCACUGGCAACUGAAAUACAGCUUAAGUGCUUGCUAAUGGAGGAGCCCACCCCCCUUGGCCCAGACCCUCCCCCACCCCGGUGGGGCUACAGCGCUGAGAAUCUAUGAAGAAAGGCCAGCUUGCCCGCUCACCUCAGUUUGGGGGGGGAAAGAGGUAAAGAACAUUAUCAGGUCAAUUGAAGAGAGGAUUGUAUUAAUACUAAAUUUACUGAAGUUGAUUAAUAUACUGUGGUUAUGUAAGGGAAUAUUUUUGUUCUUAGUACAUACACACUGAUGUAUUUAGGGGUAAAGAGCCAUGAUGUACCAUUUUCUUUCCAAAGAUUCAGAAAAAUGUUUUAUAUAACAUAUGGAUAUUUGUAAACACUUAUUUACAUAUAUGUCUACAUAUAUAAAGAGAGAGAGCAAAUGAUGAAACAAAUGGGCAAAAUGUUAAUAGGUGGAUCUAAGCAAGAUGUAGGUAUUCUGUGUCCAAUUUAUAUUUCUGC
rnacentral:lncRNA from 1 species